rnacentral:rRNA from 1 species
GAUGGACGCUGGCGGCGUGCCUAAUACAUGCAAGUCGAGCGAACGGACGCGAAGCUUGCUUCUCUGAUGUUAGCGGCGGACGGGUGAGUAACACGUGUAUAACCUACCUAUAAGACUGGGAUAACUUCGGGAAACCGGAGCUAAUACCGGAUAAUAUUUUGAACCGCAUGGUUCAAAAGUGAAUGACGGUCUUGCUGUCACUUAUAGAUGGAUCCGGGCUGCAUUGGAUAGUUGGUAAGGUAAAGGGCUACCAAGGCAACGAUGCAUAACCGACCUGUGAGGGUGGUCGGCGGCCCUAGAGGUGAGCCGCGGUCAAGGGUCCUACGGGAGGGAGCAGUAGGGAAUGUGACGCAGUGGGCGGAAGUAUGACGGAGCGGCGGCGCGUCAGAGAUGAAGGUCUUCGGAUCGUGAAACUCGGUUAUUAGGGGAAAACAGAUGUGUAAGGAGAUGAGGAGAUCGUGACGGUAACUAAUCAGAAAGCCACGGCUAACUACGUG